GCUCAUGGGACAGCUCAGCUGGCAGAACAUGAGACUAUUAAUCUCAGUCAUGGGUUCGAGCCCCACGUUGGGCA